UUUCUGAUUCUUAUUGGAGUGGUUUAAGGAGGACCAUUGAGAAGACCCCCUCCCAUAAAAACCAAAAUACCAGCUUUUCUGUGCAAUCCUGUGCAUAUGGUCUUGCUCUUGGUUCAAUCCCAAGCAGAAAA